UACGUAGGGGCCGAGCGUUGUCCGGAGUUACUGGGCGUAAAGCGUGCGCAGGCGGCGCGUUAAGACAGGUGUGAAAGCCCCGAGCUUAACUUGGGAAUUGCGCUUGUGACUGGCGUGCUGGAGUGUGGCAGAGGGAGGUGGAAUUCCACGUGUAGCAGUGAAAUGCGUAGAGAUGUGGAGGAACACCGAUGGCGAAGGCAGCCUCCUGGGCCAGCACUGACGCUCAUGCACGAAAGCGUGGGGAGCAAACAGG
rnacentral:rRNA from 1 species